rnacentral:tRNA from 1 species
GCCCCCAUAGCCCAAUUGGCAGAGGCAGCGGACUUAAAAUCCGCACAAGUGUCGGUUCGAGUCCGACUGGGGGCACCG